UUUUUUUUUUUUUUUUCUUGUCUGGAUUAUAAUAUUCUGCUCAACAAGUCUUCUUUUCUUUACGUUUGCUUCCUGUGUAUAAGGCACCCAAGAGAAUUUCAGAUUUUUAUCUUUUUUCACUCUUACAAUAUCCUUUGGAAAUUAAUAUUAUGUUUUUCCCCAUUGUAAAGAGAAAAUUAAGGAAAUCUAAGUUAUUUGUUUCAUACCUCAUAACCAAUAAGUGGCAGAGUUGAGAUCUGACCUUGGGCAGUGUUAAAGAGAGGUUUAAUUUUAGUUUAAAGAUCAGUUGUUGAAUGGAUAAGGCAUAUAGCAUAUUUGUAGCCUAAUUAUUAUCUGUAGAUUUCUGCAAAAAUAACCUAAGGUAUCAGCAGAAUUUAAUAUAUGUUAAUUUAUGCUAACAAUACAUGUUAAAUUUCCAAACUCUGAAAUAUGUUUUAUUGGAAUUUGUUUUCAAACUAAAACAAUAUGUGUUUUAGUUCAUAAAUUUUGAAAAUAGUUACAUUUUACAAUGUUUGUAAUUUGAUAAGUUUUAAAAAUUAAAAAAGAACAAAAUAUCCGAGUAUGGCUGCUCCUAUACUUGAAUUAUUCUGAUCAAAAUUCUUUUUACAAUUCCUAAUCUAUGUAGACUGUGUCACAAAGAGGAAGUGUGUCAUUCCAGUUGAUAAACUUUGGUAUAUUUUCAAAGAAAACAAAUUUAAAUUUAACCUUCAUGAACUGUGAAUUUGGCUGUGUAUAGAGUUGAUUCCUUUUGCUACUUGAACUUGGAUUUAAAAAAACUAAAUGUGAUUAUAUAUGAAAGCUUAAUGGGAAAAUAAAAGUGAGGCUAUUAAAAUGCUUGAAUGAAUAUUACAGAUUUUGAAAGUUCAGUUUUGUCCUCACUUGUUGUAUAAGGAAAAUAUACUUUAGUUGGAGAGCUGGAGAUCCUGUUUGGAUAUCUCAUAAAAUAUGUCUGAUAAAUACUUGAUUUCAUGAAAUUGAGCUUAACUGAAGACAGCAGAGCUAGAACUGAAAACUCAUUGAAAUAUAGAUGUUAUUUAGAGUCAGUAGGCUGGGGAAUGAUGAUAAACAGAAUAACAGAGACCCUUGAACUCUUAGCACUUAGCAACCAGAAAGCGGAAAAGUGUGGCGAAGAAGGAGGGUUCACAGGAGAGAGUUUUUCCCCUUAGUAGACGGGAAAUUUUAAACUAUUGUGAGUGACAAAGUGCAGUAUGCAUGUGUGGUUACAGAGUCAUAUAUGAUACAUCUCUAUUCAGGAGGAGCUUGUAAUCUAAGGAAGACAGAAUACAUACACGUAAUGACCAGUGCUAAUUACCAGGUAGGAACAAAAGCUUUGAAGAAACAAGCUGAAAAGCACAAUUUUCUUACAGUCAUAAUUAAUAAUACAUCUGGUUAUAUAUUUGCAUUUAGUCUUGAGUUGAUUUUGUAUUCAUCUCUGGAAUGUUUUUAAAACAACCAAGGUCAGUGCUCCAGUUGCUUUUUCAAAAACCAUUGCUUCCUGUUCAUAGUGGUAACCUUUCAUCUUCUAACAUAGACAGUAUAACAAGAUUUUGAUAAAGGUUGCACCGAACAAGAGAGAAGACUAUCUCACUGUCCCCAGUACUUCAACAGCACAAUUAGUUCCUCCGGCAUAAAGCAUUCAGGUCUUGAGAUGGUAGAAGCACCAGUAUUCUACACAGAAAAAUACACUGGGGGAUUGCUAGUGUGGGUAAAGAAGCGUAAAGCUCUUUGGACACAGACGAGCACAACCACCACCAGCUCUUUCCCCACUCUGCGUAGUUCAAACCACAUAUAAUAGUAUAUAGCGUCAUUUUUCAAGAGAAAAUGCAACACAGUUGUUAUAUGGAUGUACUUAGAUUAUGUAUAUACAUACCUAUAUAUAUAUUUUUAUAUUACUUCUCCCAUAUAUUGAAGAGGGUUAAGAUUUCUUUGCAGUCAAUUAACAAUUUUAAUUUUGUAUUAGGUAAAUACACACUUUUACAGGCUAUGUCUGUGUUAGUACGCUUGAAUACUACUAAGUGUAGCAGUGUAAAGAUAACAUAGUAAAAAAAAUUAUUCUAGCUCUAAAAGCAUUCAAUUUACUUUUAAGAAUAGCAAUUCUGUAGUCGGUAAUAUCUAUCAAAUGACAGUCUAGAAAUAAGGGAGACUAGACCAUAGGACUUUUAUAUUAAAUAAGCUCAAGUUGUUCACAAGAUUAUAGGAUUUUGCAGUAUUUCUCUUCACUAGAAUUGAGUGUAAAUUGAUCCAGUUGAUAAUGACUUGAAUAUUUUCUUUCUCUCGUCUGCUUACAGUGAAGUUUUUCUCCAACAGAAUGAUGUGCGGUGUACAUUGUUGGCUCAUUCUUAGGAAACGACCUGCUCAGAGCUUUUUACUCAAACCUCAUCCUCACAUGUUGUGAUGUGACGUCACGGCUGAGAGGGGCGGUGGCAAUUUUCACUUGCUCACCAUUUGCAUUUAUUUCCUAUCUGGUUCUUUUUUUAGGCAGUAAACCAUUUCUCCUUUUCAUCAGAUCAAGUCAUUUUUUUCUACUUCUGUCUCAUGACGACGCUGAUGCUCACAUCUGAAUCUCACACUCUGCAGCCUCUUCUCAGUAAGGAAGCAUUAGUGGACACUUGUAUUCCCGUAGAGCUAGAAGAGGGACUUGGAAGCUGAUGGGGAGUGUCUGGCUCUGAUGUUGCUGUGUUUACUUUAAGAGACAGAGCAUAACCAGAGCACAUGAUUCUGACACUAACUAGUGCAUUAGAACAGAGUUCUGACCGUAACCGCCAGGAGUUCGCACAGCUCCCACAAGUUAAAAGACGCAGACUUCAGCAAGACUGACCUCACUUCAGAUGUCAAAGCUGCACAUUGGGAGUCCCUGGGCCACCUGUUCUUCUGAUCAACUGGCUCUGAAUUCUGGCAUUUCUAUUGUUUCACUAGAAUGACUCAUAGGACUCAGGAGAGAAAUCCAUUUAUGAUUAUAGCUUUAUUAUAAAGGAUACAACUCAGGACCAAGCAAAUGAAGAGAGGUCUGAGAGCUGUAAUAGCGUUCUCUGUGGAUUUAGGGCACAUUAGUCUUACGGUUUUUUGUGUUCCCCAAUCAGGAAGCUCAAGUGAGCUUUAGUGUCCAGAGUUUCUAUUGGAAUGUCGCUGUGUUGGCAUGCUUGUUUGAAUUAUUGGCCCUCUGAUUAAAUUCAGUCUCUAGUACCUCUUCUUUACCGAGUGGACAGCUUGGUUGAAAGGCCCAAUCCUCUAAUUAGAGGUUUGGUCUUUCUGGUGACCAGUCGCCAUCCUAAGGCAUCUGAUCAGCAUAAACUCACUGUGAUCCAAGAGGCUAAUGAGUAACAAAAACACUCCUAUUAGAAAAUUUCAAGGAUUGAAAUUUUCCUUCCCAAGAAUCGAGGCCAAUGGCCAAAUUCUUUAUUAUACAACACAAACCUAAAUGGGUGGGAUAAGGAAGAGAGGCGUGGAAAAACAUGG
rnacentral:lncRNA from 1 species